CUGUGUUGCCGCUGAGGUCCUUCCAAACCUCUCGCCUCCUGGGUCAGAAGGCGUCUUCCAUCGAGGAGCUCGACAAAGUCAAACUGUGUAUGUGAUGGUGGAAGGCCUUUUCUGCCAUAGAUGCCAACCAGAGCAGCCUUUCCUAAAGACACAUUGAAUUUCAGAUGCACUGGGUGGUCGAUGAACACCUGAGAUCUCCAAAAGAUACCAGGAGGGAUCUUCUGUGUGGCUCGUCUGCCAACAUCAAUUUCUCCAGAGUCUAUAAAACUGUCGUCUGGAAAGAAACUACUGGGCUUUCCUUCACUGGUUCCUUUGCCUUUCCUGUCAGGUAACUCUAACCCUGUGCCCC
rnacentral:lncRNA from 1 species